CCUACGGGAGGCAGCAGUGGGGAAUUUUGGACAAUGGGCGAAAGCCUGAUCCAGCAAUGCCGCGUGCAGGAAGAAGGCCUUCGGGUUGUAAACUGCUUUUGUACGGAACGAAACGGUCUGCUUUAAUACAGUGGGCUAAUGACGGUACCGUAAGAAUAAGCACCGGCUAACUACGUGCCAGCAGCCGCGGUAAUACGUAGGGUGCGAGCGUUAAUCGGAAUUACUGGGCGUAAAGCGUGCGCAGGCGGUUAUAUAAGACAGUUGUGAAAUCCCCGGGCUCAACCUGGGAAUUGCAUCUGUGGCUGUAUAGCUAGAGUACGGUAGAGGGGGAUGGAAUUCCGCGUGUAGCAGUGAAAUGCGUAGAUAUGCGGAGGAACACCGAUGGCGAAGGCAAUCCCCUGGACCCUGUACUGACGCUCAUGCACGAAAGCGUGGGGAGCGAAACAGGAUUAGAUACCCUGGUAGUCCACGCCCUAAACGACUGUCAACUGGUUGUUGGGUGCAUUAGUACUCAGUAACGAAGCUAACGCGUGAAGUUGACCGCCUGGGGAGUACGGCCGCAAGGUUGAAACUCAAAGGAUUGACGGCUGAGACGNGCGAGACGACGACGAGGGAGGAGG
rnacentral:rRNA from 1 species